rnacentral:rRNA from 1 species
UACGUAGGUGGCAAGCGUUGUCCGGAAUUAUUGGGCGUAAAGCGCGCGCAGGCGGUCCUUUAAGUCUGAUGUGAAAGCCCACGGCUCAACCGUGGAGGGUCAUUGGAAACUGGGGGACUUGAGUGCAGAAGAGGAAAGCGGAAUUCCACGUGUAGCGGUGAAAUGCGUAGAGAUGUGGAGGAACACCAGUGGCGAAGGCGGCUUUCUGGCCUGUUCUUGACGCUGAGGCGCGAAAGCUAGGGGAGCAAACGGG